ACGCUCGACACCUACGGGAGGCAGCAGUGGGGAAUAUUGCACAAUGGGGGAAACCCUGAUGCAGCGACGCCGCGUGAGUGAAGAAGUAUUUCGGUAUGUAAAGCUCUAUCAGCAGGGAAGAAGAUGACGGUACCUGAGUAAGAAGCCCCGGCUAACUACGUGGCAGCAGCCGCGGUAAUCUGAGCGGGCUGGCAAGGC
rnacentral:rRNA from 1 species